UGCUUUAUGAAACUGAUAUAAAGUAAUCUCCUGCCCAGUGAAAUUUUUCAACGGCCGCGGUAUCCUAACCGUGCAAAGGUAGCAUAAUAACUUGCCUAUUAAUUGUAGGCUAGAAUGAACGGGGUAACGAAAUAAGAUCUUUCUUAUACAGACCAAUAAAAACUAUUAUUUAAGUGAAGAAACUUAAAUAUAAUUAAAGGACAAGAAGACCCUAUAGAGCUUUAAUUUAAACCUACAGUAUAGCUUACAUUUAGGUUGGGGCAACCAAGGAAUAAAUCAUCCUUCAAUAAUAAGAUAAACAAAUCAUACCACUGAUCCUACAAUAGAUUACCGAUAUAAGCUACCUUAGGGAUAACAGGCUAAUCCUAUUACAGAGCUCUUAUCAACAAUAGGGAUUGGCACCUCGAUGUUGGCUUAGACAUAUCUAAAUGGCGCAGCAGCCAUUUUAAGAAAGUUUGUUCAACUUAUAAUAUUC
rnacentral:rRNA from 1 species